rnacentral:rRNA from 1 species
AUGGAAUAUCAGCCCAUCAUCAGCGCCCUGGACGUGCGUCCUGAGCCAACCACCGUCGACGAACUCUUCGGUAUGGUAUCUACUUUUGAUCAGCGGGUUGAGAUGUUCCAGGGAACCGGCGACCAAGCCUUUAAAUCAUCGGCCAACGCCGCUUCCCGCGGACGGGGUGGCCCUUCCAAAGGCUACCUUGGCGGUGGCGGUGGUUCUCGCGGUGGUGGCGGUCACUAUGGUGGCGGCGGUGGCGGCCCCUACGGCGGCGGUGGUGGCGGUCACCACCCCAACUCCCACGGUGGUGGCAGCGGCGGCCACUACGGUGAUGGUGGUGGCUAUGGUGGCCACUACUCCAACUCCGGAGGCAGCAAAGAACACAACUUAACAACGGUGGUCGCCCCUUCUACAACAACAACAGGGGAGGCCAGAACAACUACAACAACAACUUCAAAGGGUAUGAUGAAUAUGAAGGAAAGUGUCAAAUUUGCAAGAAAAUUCAUCAUAUUGCGAAGCAAUGCAAGUGGCGCUAUGCAGAUGACAAUUCACAAAAAAAGAAAGUUGCCGCAGCAGCCAACAAGUCAUAUGGAGUAG